rnacentral:rRNA from 1 species
GUGCCAGCAGCCGCGGUAAUACGUAGGGACCAAGCGUUGUUCGGAUUUACUGGGCGUAAAGGGCGCGUAGGCGGCCUAGCAAGUCACUUGUGAAAUCUCCGGGCUUAACUCGGAACUGCCAAGUGAAACUGCUGGGCUAGAGUGCAGAAGGGGCAAUCGGAAUUCUUGGUGUAGCGGUGAAAUGCGUAGAUAUCAAGAGGAACACCUGAGGUGAAGACGGGUUGCUGGGCUGACACUGACGCUGAGGCGCGAAAGCCAGGGGAGCAAACGGGAUUAGAUACCCUUGUAGUCC